GGAGGACAAAGUUGACCGGAGACCUGUGCCUGAGCGAGUUCAGGAGGGACUUGCCUCCCACAGGGGCAGCGAAACAGACUCCAGAGAAGAUGGACAUGAAUCGACUCAGCACUGCGGCACAGAUACUGGCAAUGUGGACAAAUGGACCCUGGAGGUGACGGGAGGAAAACACUGACACAGAUGAGAGACAUGAAAACAGACGGCAAGAGGUAAAAAAGAGGAAAAAGACAGAUGUGACAGAUGAUGGAGAGCUUACCGAUGGCCUGUGGGGAAACCAGGUGACAGAAGAGCGAGGCAAACAUGACAAGGAUCAUGGGAUAGCUAACCCAGGCAAGGCUCUUGGCACUGGCGUAGUCCAUGCUCCAGCUGACCAGAGCCAUCGUUAGUCCCAGAAGAACCAGGAAUAUCCAGUCCUCCCCCAUCUUGGUCACUAUAUACCGCCGCACACGAG